CGAAGAACCUUACCUACUCUUGACAUCCAGCGAACUUGGCAGAGAUGCCUUGGUGCCUUCGGGAACGCUGAGACAGGUGCUGCAUGGCUGUCGUCAGCUCGUGUUGUGAAAUGUUGGGUUAAGUCCCGCAACGAGCGCAACCCUUAUCCUUUGUUGCCAGCGAUUCGGUCGGGAACUCAAAGGAGACUGCCGGUGAUAAACCGGAGGAAGGUGGGGAUGACGUCAAGUCAUCAUGGCCCUUACGAGUAGGGCUACACACGUGCUACAAUGGCGCAUACAAAGAGAAGCGACCUCGCGAGAGCAAGCGGACCUCAUAAAGUGCGUCGUAGUCCGGAUCGGAGUCUGCAACUCGACUCCGUGAAGUCGGAAUCGCUAGUAAUCGUGGAUCAGAAUGCCACGGUGAAUACGUUCCCGGGCCUUGUACACACCGCCCGUCACACCAUGGGAGUGGGUUGCAAAAGAAGUAGGUAGCUUAACCUCCGGGAGGGCGCUUACCACUUUGUGAUUCAUGACUGGGGUGAAGUCGUAACAAGGUAACCGUAGGGGAACCUGCGGUUGGAUCACCUCCUUA
rnacentral:ncRNA from 1 species